CGGCGUGCAUAACACAUUCAAGUCGAACGGUGACGGGAACUUCGGUUCUCUGAACAGUGGCGGACGGGUGAGUAACGCGUGAGCAAUCUGCCCGGCAUAGAGGGAUAACACAGGGAAACCUGUGCUAAUACCACAUGAUGUAUACUGAUCGCAUGUUUGGUAUACCAAAGGGAAACCGAUGUCGGAUGAGCUCGCGUUGGAUUAGACAGUUGGCAGGGUAACGGCCUACCAAAUCAACGAUCCAUAGCCGAACUGAGAGGUUGAACGGCCACAUUGGAACUGAGAAACGGUCCAGACUCCUACGGGAGGCAGCAGUGGGGAAUAUUGGGCAAUGGGCGAAAGCCUGACCCAGCGACGCCGCGUGAGGGAAGACGGUCUUCGGAUUGUAAACCUCUUUCAGCAGGGAAGAAGCAAGUGACGGUACCUGCAGAAGAAGUCACGGCUAACUACGUGCCAGCAGCCGCGGUAAUACGUAGGUGGCGAGCGUUAUCCGGAAUUACUGGGUGUAAAGGGUGUGUAGGCGGGGAGGCAAGUCAGAUGUGAAAACCAAAAGCUCAACUUUUGGCCUGCAUUUGAAACUGUUUCUCUUGAGAGUGGGAGAGGUAAACGGAAUUCCUGGUGUAGUAGUGAAAUGCGUAGAUAUCGGGAGGAACACCGAUGGCGAAGGCAGGUCACUGGGCCGUUACUGACGCUGAGGAGCGAAAGCAUGGGGAGCGAACAGGAUUAGAUACCCUGGUAGUCCAUGCCGUAAACGUUGGGCGCUAGGUGUGGGGGCCUCUUCCGGCUUCUGCGCCGCAGCUAACGCAUUAAGCGCCCCGCCUGGGGAGUACGGCCGCAAGGCUAAAACUCAAAGGAAUUGACGGGGGCCCGCACAAGCGGCGGAGCAUGCGGAUUAAUUCGAUGCAACGCGAAGAACCUUACCAAGGCUUGACAUGCGCCGGAAGCCCGCAGAGAUGCGGGUGUCUUCGGACUGGCGUGCAGGUGGUGCAUGGUUGUCGUCAGCUCGUGUCGUGAGAUGUUGGGUUAAGUCCCGCAACGAGCGCAACCCCUGUCCCGUGUUGCCAGCGCUUCGGGCGGGGACUCGCGGGAGACUGCCGGGGUCAACUCGGAGGAAGGUGGGGAUGACGUCAAAUCAUCAUGCCCCUUAUGUCUUGGGCUUCACGCAUGCUACAAUGGCCGGUACAGAGGGCUGCGAUGCCGCGAGGCGGAGCGAAUCCCUUAAAGCCGGUCUCAGUUCGGAUCGGGGUCUGCAACUCGACCCCGUGAAGUCGGAGUCGCUAGUAAUCGCAGAUCAGCAACGCUGCGGUGAAUACGUUCUCGGGCCUUG
rnacentral:rRNA from 1 species